rnacentral:rRNA from 1 species
UACGUAGGGUGCGAGCGUUGUCCGGAAUUAUUGGGCGUAAAGAGCUUGUAGGCGGUUUGUCGCGUCUGCUGUGAAAAUCCGGGGCUCAACCCCGGACUUGCAGUGGGUACGGGCAGACUAGAGUGUGGUAGAGGAGACUGGAAUUCCUGGUGUAGCGGUGAAAUGCGCAGAUAUCAGGAGGAACACCGAUGGCGAAGGCAGGUCUCUGGGCCGAUACUGACGCUGGAGGAGCGAAAGCGUGGGGAGCGAACAGG